rnacentral:rRNA from 1 species
CAGCAGCCGCCGCGGGAAUACGGAGGGUGCGAGCGUUACCCGGAAUCACUGGGCGUAAAGGGCGCGUAGGCGGCAUGUUAAGUCUGGUUUUAAAGACAGGGGCUCAACCCCUGGAGUGGACUGGAUACUGGCACGCUUGACCUCUGGAGAGGUAACUGGAAUUUCUGGUGUAGCGGUGGAAUGCGUAGAUACCAGAAGGAACACCAAUGGCGAAGGCAAGUUACUGGACAGAAGGUGACGCUGAGGCGCGAAAGUGUGGGGAGCGAACCGGAUUAGAUACCCCAGUAGUCCCUGUCUCUUAUAC